CAAAGUUGAUUUACCCCAUUUGUUAACACUCGCCCUUUACAAGGGAGAACUUAGUUGUCCAGAGGGGAAGUUAUUGGAAGAAUAACUGAUGAGGCCUAUCAGUAAUACCAAAAAAGGAUCUGCCAACAAAAAAGUGUCUUCACACUGAAAUCCCUGAGAGGUUUGUAAGCUAAUUGAAAUGUGGGCCUUGGAUACCCUGGUUGGGAUUUAUUCAUCUAAAAAAAGUGAAGAAAUGAAGAUCUUCUGAUGAUUCGGGCACUCUUUAACUCUAAGGACCCAGGUUUGGAGACUACUGGCAUCUUCUUUUUGGCAUUCAGCAAGAAUCUAAUCACUCAGCAUGCGAUACUCCUCUUCAGGGAAGAAGAGCCAGGGAAUCUCCAAAGGGUCCCAAAGCUGGGAAGGAUCCGAGACAAGGUCAAGCCUGACUCCGAGUGCCACACUCGUCCUACUCUACCACACUGGCUGUCAAGAAACUAAAAAAAUAUGCUUUGGAUUUUUUUCCCUAUCAAAAAUAUGAGGACGUCGAAGAGAGGACAUCUCUGGAGCUUUAACAAACAUUUAUGGCAGACCAGUGAGAUGUAGCCCUGAUUGCCGAUACCCACACCCAUCUCUGUUCCAGAAUUGAACCCUUCCUUACAUCAUUGAAAAACAGUUAACAAUGUAUGCAACAGUUCAUGCUUAUCAUACGCCACCUAUCUUCUGAGGAGAGCAGGGAGAUAUUUUUCAUUAUCUGUUCUUUCUUGUGUUCUUAUUAAAGACUGAGAAUAUAGGCAAUGCCAGCCUUUGGUGAAAGAAGAACGCUGGGACUUUUACUCUUGAACACAUCUAUUUUUACAGAUUUCAGCCCUUACAACCCCUAAAUCCAGUUGAUGAGGGGGUUGGUGAUGGGUAUAACUAAUCUAUUCGUUUGCAAAAAGAAACAAAGAUUUGAUUGAAUAUAGUCUUAAUUUAAAAUUACAUCUGCUUGGUGAAAAUGAAAAAAAGAAAGCCAGUCAAAUGGAACAUAGGAUACUACUAUUCUGGCCUCUUAAGUUAUAGGAAUUCUCCCUCCUCUAUUCCUAGCUUUCUGUCUUUCCAUUCCUUUUGUCUUCUUGGCUCUUAUCCCAAUGGGACAGCUUGUAAACCUUUUUUGGGACAUUGUCUCCAUUGAGUUGGUGAAUAUAUGCCAAGGAUUGAGCCUUCCUACUUCUGGGUGGGCCAAUAACAGCGUGCCCUGGGGAUGUGAAUUUGAAGAAAUUCCUUGGACACCACAGUGUUUCUAUGAAUAGAUGGACACUUUUAGAAGAUCCUAUGGCCCCCAGCUCCGGUGCUUUCCUUACUUUCCCAACAAGACAAGCCUAGCGUCUGAGAGGUUAGGAAAGACCAGGAGAGGAGACAUAUUAGGAGACAAGCUUCCUUGUGUGGGGACCCAAGUUUGGUGACCCUAGAGAAAAUGACUUCUGGCACUGUCCAUGAAUCACAAUGCUCCAUUUAUAAGUAGCAAUUAAUUUCAAGCAAAAUUUGUGCAUCCACCACUAACUGUCAAUUCAAGAGGUUGAAAGUUCAGCCCUGGGGAGGUCAGAAAGCCUUCCAAGAAUCUUGGCAUCUGGGGUCAGCUCUCCCUCCCCAUUGUUGCACACCAUGAAACAGGAAAGCCUUCUCCAUCGAAGAUGGUCAUGUUCCAAGAAUGAGAAGCCCUGCAAAACUGGAUGGCUCAGUGCAAAGCAGGGUCAUCACUGUGAUGGGCAUCAUGGCCAUUAACAUACCAGGCAUGCAUACGUACACAUUGUGGACCUACUUGCUUUGGCUCAAUAGGAAUUGUUUUCCCCUGACUUUGUUUAGAAUAAAAAUAGCCAUUUAUGAAAGGCUGAAUAAGAGACUUUAAAGAGAGACUGAUUUCAGCUAACAUUGGAAAGUUCAUCCAGUUUUCUUCCCAUUUUGACAUGACUUUGCAAAAUUAUAAAACCAGAUGGGCCCCCAAAAGGAACUGGCUUUUUCCAAAGCAAAAUGUGGAAAUGAUUCUUCUGAGAACCUAACAAAGGGCCUAUUUUGCCGUUAUAGACCAGAACCAGAAACAGGAAGAGGCUCCAAUUAACUAACUGAAGCACAAUAGGAGGUUAAUAAAUAAUGGAAUAAUUAUGACAAAGAUGAGAUAGCUUCCCCGUAUCAUUCAGGCAAUAUUCUGUCUUUCAGUGUGUGAAAAAUCUUUCAAAUUCUAGAGUGGGAAAACACACCUAUUUCUCUCACAACAGUUAAACUAUUCCCAUUCUUUUGUCUCUUUACCUUUUGUUUACCUUGGGACAACUGGUUGUUGUUGCUGUUGUUUAGUCAUGUCAGACUCUUCUUGACUCCAUGGACCAUAGCACACCUGGGGUUUUUCUUGCCAAGAAUACUAGAGUGGUUUGUCAUUUCCUUCUCCAGUGGAUUAAGGCAAGCAGUGGAUAAGUGACUUACCUAGAGUCACACAGCUAGGGAGUGUCAAAGUCCAGAAUUUAAUUCAGAUCUUCCUGCUUUAUUCUCUGAGCCACCUAGCUAUCUUUAGGGAUAACUGGUAGGAAGAGUGAUUAAGAUUCACAUUUCCCUGUUUGUUUUAUGUACAAUUAUAAAUCCAUAUUUGCCUUUAUUGUCUGUCUUAUUGUACUUAUGUGACCCUGGGCAAGUCAUUUACUUUCCUUGGGCCUCAAUUUCUUCAUCUGUAAAUUAGUGAGGAAAUUGGAUUAGAUGAGUCUAGUCCAGCUCUAGAUCUGUGAUUUCACUGAUCUUCUUUAGAAUAUCAAUUUGUCAUUAGAGGUAACUACAGACAAACUCUUGGAGCUUUGAUACCAAAAUUAGCAUUGGAGUGGUUUGCCUUGUCCUUCUCUAGCUCAUUUUACAGAUGAGGAAAUUGUGUCCAACAAGGUUAAGUUACUGACACAGGAUCAUACAGUUAGUAAGUGCCUGAGAUCAGACUUGAACUCAUUAAGAUGAGUCUUCUUGGUUCCAAGUCCAAGAUGACUACAUAACAAAACCAGGCAUUCUGAGUGGUUCUCUGCUAUUGCCCAAGAGGAUGGGUUGAAUUUCUCCUUUGAAGGCUCUGCCCUUCUUAGUAUCCAGGGCCUCCCCUUGACAUCUUCUGUGCCCUCCACCCUUGUCUACAAUGUGCCCCCAAGGACUUAGAUACUUCAAAUGAAAAAACAACUUUUUUAUCCUUGGUAAGAACUCAACUGACAAAUUAUGAAAAACAGUUGCCACACAAUGGGGAUACCUUUGUGAAUAUCCAAAGUUCUAUAAAGCUGGUAAUUUGGAAAUGCAAUCUAUUUACUUUAACUGGGCUCUGAUUUCCAUGGAAUCCAGGUUUUUAUAGGUUCUACCAGAAACUCAUUAAUUCACCCUCCUUUUUCCUCAAUUCAAUCCUAGUUCUCCAAAGACUACAGCAGCAACAUCCUUCUUGUCCCAAAUUUCCUCAUUUCCAGAUGAAAACUUUCUCAUCACUUCCCCCAGGAAUCCAGCUCAAUUCACUUCUCUAGAUUCUAUGCACAAGUUUUCUUUAAACUGAACUCUUCCUCUUCUGUCACUUAAGGGACACCUAGAUGGUACAGUGGAUAAAAUUCCAAGCUUGAAGUCAGGAAGACCCGAGUUCAAAUCUGUCUUGAGACACUGACUAGCUCUAUGUCCCUGGGCAAGUCACUCUAUUUAUCUCAAUUUCCUCGUCUGUAAAAUGGGGAUAAUAAGAGCACCAACCUUAAGGACUCGAUGGAUAGAGUGCUCUAAGCUUAGGAUCAGGAAGACUCAUCUAACUGAGUUAAAAUUUGGCUUUAGACACUUACUAUAUGUGUGACCCCAGGCAAGUCAUUUAACACUGUUUGCUUCAGUUUCCUCUUAUGUAAAGUGAACUGGAAAAGGAAAUGACAAGCCACUCUAGAAUCUUUGCCAAGAAAACCCCAAAUGUGGUCACAAAGACUCAGACACAUGAAAAAUAAACCAACUGAACAGCAACAAUAAACCCAGGAUUGUAGUGAGAACAGAAUGAGUUAACAACUGCAAACACUUAGCACAGCACUUGGCACACAGGCAGUACUACAUAAACAGUAGCUACUAUUACUUUUAGUAUCUCCUUCAUGAAACCUUCUGUUAUCUCUCUAGGCAAAGGAAGUUUCAGCCUCCUUAAAUUCUCCUAGCAAUUUGCUCGCACUUCCCUGAAGCACUUAGGCUGUUCUGUAUUAUAUUUCAUUUGUAGAUACACAUUGGGUUGUCAUUACUAGAUUAGAAGUACAGACUGCUUGUAUGUGUCCUCCACAGUGCCUAGCCUAGUGCCUUGCUCAACAAAGAUCUGGUGAAUGGAUAAAUGAAUGAACUAAAUAACCUUCAGUUAUCUGGAAUGUUAAUUUACACAAAUCAGCUUAUUGCCUAACUGGUAAGUGAGAUAUCAUCACUAUACUCCAUUGAUGGCUGAUGUAGGACAGUCCCAGGGAGCUUCUGAUGAUCCAGCAGGAUUCUGGGGACCUUGUGAGAUGUAGCUGGGGCUAAGUAAGCACAGGGAACCAGAAGAAGGCUAAAGAGACUCUUCUGAGAGUCAGAAGAAGGAAUGGCAGUUGCUUUGGGGGGAAAAAAAGCAGUUAUAUUCCUGCUUUUGGAAAUGCCUCAACAGAAAAGCAUCUGACUUGUCAUCUGUAGCAAAACCUGAGCAGCUUCAGCUGCUCUAUAAAUAGGUUGGGUUUUUACACCCUUUUUCCUGGCAUCUAACAAUUCUUUAGUGAGGAGAAAAAGGCUGUUUAUUCUCUCUUGAAUCUCAACAAUCCUUUACUAUGGAGAUAAUUCAGAACAUUUAAAACUAAGAAUGUUAUUUUUGUGAACCUGGGAAGCAUUUCUUUUCCAUAUAUGGCAUAACGGGUAGCUAGGAAGGGUCUUCUCUUUAUGUGUACACCAGUAUUCUUUGUAGUUAUCUACUAAGUACUAUCAUCAUUAGCACCAUCUUGUUCUCAUCUUUUUUUGAAUGGCAUUCAAACAGAAAUGAUUCUGGGGACCAAUCUCUCAUACUAUUGCAGGAUAUUUUUUAAAAAUUAAAGCUUAUUAAAGUUUUUUCUAAGCAAAUAAUUAUAGCUUCAAAUGUAUAUGCUUUCCUUAUCACACACUAGCAUAAGCUUGCUUUUAUUUUUUGAAAUAAAUUUAAAUUCUAUUUUUUAACAUGCAUUUUAAAAAUUUAAAUUUUUAUUUCUGAAGUCUCUUUAAUUCAUAUCCCACCCCCUUCCUCUUGAGGAAGGAAGGAAGGAAAGAAGGAAUGAAGGGAGGGAGGGAAGGAGGAUGACAGGACAUAGCUAGUUGAUGAUAGAGGGCCCAGGGCUAGAAUACAAAUCUAGAUGAUUAUUGAUUGAUGAACAAAAUAGUAACCUUGAGGCUCUUCAAGAUUCUCAGUUAGCUAAGUCUCAUAUUCAUUCAUUCAGUAUGUUCUAGUUUCUAAGUCAAAACCCUCAGAUGAACUAAUACUAAUUUUACAAACAUUUUCUGAGCAAGAGUUGAAGAGAAUGUUCCUCUUAAUCCUAAGCAAGGGAGAAAAUACUACUGUUCCAUUACUUAAGUAGUCCAAUUCCUUGAGCAUUUGGAAGAUUAACUAGCAUUAGGCCAUCAACUCAUUUGCACAGAUUACAGUAAGAUUGGGAGUAAAGAAGGGACUCCUAUCUCUGGAAAUGUGCCAUAUCUUUUCUCACUCUAAGAAAUGUGCUAUAGGAUAUGCCCAGAUUGGUGACAAAUCAUGAGUUAUACAAGUAAAAGGCUCUGUGCUGACAGAAGAAAAAGAAAAUGGAGCAAAGAGGAAGGUGGGAGCUAUGAACUAUGCUAUGGAAUAUAUCCACAAAUAUUCCAGUAAAACCUGGAAUGAUAUUAAAGUUAUCUGUAGAAUAAUUAGUUCAUUGUUCCUCCAUCCCACUUUGAGUUCAAGUUGGAGCAAUUUAGGUAGCUUGGCCUUGGCCUUAGCCUUGACCCAAGUUAAUCUUCCACUGAUAGUAGAGAAUGGAAAUAUUUCAGUUCUAUCCUCCACCAACCUAGUUUGUAUGCAUUGAGAUGAGUAGGAGAAAUGUCUAAUUAUAGCAAGACUUGAAAACGUUCAAGGCACUGGGAUCAUUUUGUGUUCUUAUGAUUAACAGUGGACUCACUCAGACUACUAAGUGAAAGAAGUCCAAAGCCGAGUGUCCUGUUGUUUAUUGUUUUGUCUGACUGCUGUAUUUGACUCUUUGUGACCCCCUUUGGGGUUUUCAUGGCAAAGACACUGGAGUGGUUUGCCAUUUCUUUCUCCAGAUCAUUUUACAGAUGAAACUGAGGCAAACAAAGUUAAGUGACUCACCCAGGGUCACACAGUGUCUGAGAUUGGAUUUACACUCAAGAAGAGCAGUCUUCCUGACUCCAGGCUCAGUGUUCCAUCCUCUGUGCAACUUAGCUCCCUCACCAACAAUAAAAUAUUGGCAAAUUGGCAAAGAUCAAAAGAUGGGAACUGCCAGUGUCAGAGAGGUUGUGGAAAGAUAGUCCCUUUCAAUAUACUUUUGAAGCUAUUCAUUGGUUCUACCAUUCUAGGAAGCAAUUUGGUAUUGUGCCAAGAAAGUCACUUAGAAUGUUCCAAACCAGAAACGUCAAACAUACCACCUAUGGCAUGAGGCUCCCUCCACACCCCCUAAUGAACAGAUUAAAAUGUUUAACAAAAUAAAUAAAAAUACCAUGUGACAUAUAUACUGUUAUUUCAUACUUUUCUAAGUCAUUUUACUGCCCACCGCGAUGUUUCUAUUGAAUCUGAUCCCAAUGGUCCAUACUCUGAUCCAGAGAUCACACUGAGCAAACACCCCAAAGAUGUUAAAGACAGAAAGAAAAGUCCCUUGUAUACACUAACCUAUUAAUAACCAUACUUUCUAUGGUAGUAAAUAACUGGUAAUAAAGUAAAUGCCUAUUGACUGGGGAAUGGCUGUGCAAAAAAUGUGGAUAAUGCAUGUAAUGAAAUAUUAAUGAGCUGUAAGAAAUGAUGAAUAUGAAGAAUUCAGAGAAGCAUGGGAAGUAAGGAUGAACUGAUGCACAAUGAAUGAAACAAAUAUAUAUUAUAGAUAUAUAAUACAUGUAUAUAUAAAACCCUGAGAUUAAACUUUGCAUUGCUAUAAUCUCCAAACUUGUUCCUGAAGAAAAGAUGAGAAAAUAUAGCUACCACUCUUCUUUGUAGGGCUGGGAGACUAUGGGAGUAGAACAUUCCAUAUACUAAAGACUCAAUUGAUAUGUUAAUGAGUUUUUUAAACUGUUUUUCCUCCAUUCUCUUUCUUUUGGUGAUGUAAAAACAACUAUAUAAAUGAAAAUCUUUAAAAUAUUCUGCUCUUUAGCAUUCUCAGGAGUUCAAGUCAUUGAGCUAAUAAUAAAAAUUGUAAAAGACCUUAUCUAUCAUUGCAGUGCAGAGGAAAGAAGUAGGUUCCAAAUGGAAGUCUCAUUUUCAAAAGACAUCUAAAAGCUAUCACUCCAUCCUCCUACCCAGAAAGAUAGGGAACUAGAUACUGGGGGGAACAAAGUCACUUUCCUACUAAAUCAAAACAUGGAGAGAGGCUGGUUGUCAAAUAAGCUCACAUCAGGCCAAAACACUGUAAAGGAAACCAGUAUGCUUUCCUAAGUGGGUAUGAGGUCCAUCAGGGUUAUAUUCCAGCUCCUGCGGAAGUUUCAUCUCUAUCACCUACCUGCCAGACUUCAGUGCACUUAACAGGACAAGCUUCUCACUAAUGAAGUUUGGCUUCUAAUUACCCUCCAGGCAUUGAUGCCCUACUCCUCACAGCAGCAGCCUCACUUGUCAUCUAAUGACAAUUGAUAGCACCAGAGUGGAAAAGCAACAGUUGCAGGGUGGAUGGAAUGGACAGCUGCAGCCUUGAUCAGCAGGGCAAGGAAAUGAAAAAUUGGCAAACAACACAGAGAAGAUGCCCCAACUGAAAGGUGAUGAGGCAAGGAUUUCAUUGUGACCUUAAGGAGGUUCAGGUUUCUGUUCUUAGUUUCAUGAUCCAAAGCAGCUAAAAAAGGAAUAAAUAUUUUUUUUCCUAAAAAUUCACAGAGAUGUAAAAAAGCAAGAUGACAGUAACUGAGGCAAAUGAGAAUUGUGUGAAUGGUUUCAGACUGUCUCUGAAGUCAGGAUUCCUAAAAUGAUACAGUUAUGACAGAUUUAGAAAAAGAUGCUGGAUUUCCAAGCUACUUUGUUUCCUAUUGGAACGUGGAUUCUUGCUCAGAGGCUCAGUGAGAUGGGGAAUUCAAGCCACUGAUUUGACCCCUACUGACUCUUGCUCUUCAAAAAUAAAAGGUAUAAAUCUUAGUCAUUUAUUGACAUAAUUUGCUGAUUAUCAGUGGGGUUUUUUUUUAACAUAAAGGUUUAUAGUGGUCAAUGAUUCAGCAAGAUCAGAAAUAUAUGUUGAAGAAAGGGGAAAGGUUUCAUAAAGGAAGGAAGGAAAUAAGCAUUUAUGAAGUGCCUAGUAUAUGUCGGGCACUUUGCACUAACAGGUAAGGUAGAUAAUGUAAUUUUCUCCAUUUGCAGUUGAGAGAAUUGAGGCCGACAGAAAUUAAGUGACUCAUUCAAGAUCAGAAACUGAGUAAGUAUCUGAGGCCAGAUUUGACCUGAGGUCCUCCUGCCUCCAUGUCUAGCACACUGCCCACACCUACUUGUCUAAAAAAGCUGGAGUCUAUUCUUCUACCCCUUCAUAUCUAAUAUAUUUGAGUCAAAGUCCAGCAACUCACUAUAACCUUAUGUGUUUCAAAAAAUAAUCUUCAUUGGGGCAGCUGAGUGGCUCAGUGGACUGAGAGCCAGGCCUACAGACUGGAUGUCCUGUGUUCAAAUCUGGCCUCAGAUACUUCUUACCUGUGUGACCUGGGCAAGUCACUUAAUCCCCAUUGCCUAGCCCUUACCACUCAUCUGCCUUGGAACCAACACACAGUUUUGAUUCUAAGAUGCAAGGUAAGGGUUUAAAUUUUUUACAUUAUAAAAUUAAUACUCAAAUAUUAAAUUUGAAUAUUAAAUUGAAGCUCACAUGAAACCAUAAAUUCUGACAGUUACAUUUUGAUUGAAUGAGGAAACCUUUGUUGUUGUUCAGUUGUGUCUGACCCUUUGAGAACUCAUUUGGAAUUUUCUUGGCAAAAAAUACUUAAGUCGUUUGCCAUAUUCUUCUCCAGCUCAUUUUAUAAAUGAGGAAACUGAGGCAAACAAAAUUAAGUGACUUGCCCAGAGUUAUAGAGUUAGUAAGAGUCUGAGGCCAGAUUUGAAUUCAGGAAGAUGAUUCUUCUUGACUCCAGGCCAGGGACUCUAUCCAACAACAUGUUCAACCAACCACGUUUCCCUAAACUCCCAUUUUUACUGUAGUCAAGUACUCUAAAGUUUCAUUCUGCAUCACUGUAGAAAUAUAUACUAAUGAGAUCACAGAUCUACUUGAGCAUAAUUAUCUUAAAUUUUUGCCAUUUCUUUUUAUUUUGGAAACAUUGUUUUU